UAAUUGGUGGGGGUUGAGUGGAAAUUGACCAAGUAGCAAGAAGUUGUUUGGACAUGAAGAGAAGAUUGAAAAAGGACAAGUGGCUCACUCAAAGCCAAGUGCAUAGCAACCAUAACAACGCAUGUAUUUUCUGAAAAAUCACAAAGAUGAAACUUAAAACUUAAAGAGGGAUAAGAUGAAAACGGUAACAGGUAUGAAAAAGCUGAAUCAUACAUGAAUAGCCCAAUAAUUUGAGAACAUUUUAAACUUUGAAUGGUUGUUCUAAGUCAAAGUACACUGAAAAAAUGGGAAUUGGCAGGCUUUUGAAUUUGCACAAAUGAAUUUAGUUAAUUCUACACAAGCCUUUCAUGUUUCUCUUAUUUACAUGAUUGAAUAAAGUACAAUUUACUUGAUUAUAAACAAUACUGAGACUACUCAUUUUUCUUGCAUUGAUUUAAAGUGACUAAAUUAGAAUACUAAAACCAUUGUAAUCAUGUUUGACCACAACUGGAAAUGAUGCAAUAUAUUCAAAGACAACAACUAAAUAUGAUUGGAUAAUAAGACCUAGAGUCUUAUCCAAUAAGACAACAACAUAAUUUAAGGAGAGCGCAAUUGACCGCCAGAUUCUGGAAGACUGUUUAGCCACAUGCAACCUUUGCCACUGAGUCAGGCAUACUGAGAAGGUAAGUAAUCUAAAUACAUUUGUUUUAGUUAGGUACAUUUUCACAGAAUUGUUGUAGUGCAUGCUAUAUGAAAAGUAAUCUGUAAUGCAUCUACAUGUUGUUUUUACAGUGCUAGCUAAAGUUGGUAUUAGCUUCGUGGCUAAAGCUGAAAAAUAGUAACAAAUUGCACAUAGUCGGGAGAAAGCAGCUGUUGUCGGUCGGAUAUGGAAUUUAUGUCUGUGACAGAGAGCACUGGCGUUUUUGAUGGCUUAGCAAGUUAAAACGUCACUGAGAGAGCACAAUAGUGUUUGUGUUACUCGUGCUAGUUAUGGCUACAGUGGCUAAUUAGUCAGGCUGUAACCGUCAGAGUUUAAGAAGCUGGGAGCGCCACAGUGCCAUACCUUAAUUCUUGCCGCUGACACGCACUCAAGUUAUAAUAAGGAUCCUGCCACCUUAGACGUGGGUUUAAGAGCCUGUGCCCAUAAAUGCCAAGUCAUUUUUGCAUUUAGUCAUUGUUUUAGGUGAAGUGUCACUUACUUGACUAUUCUAUUGGUCAAGCCCAAAUAAUAAAGCAGAUAUCUACAAGGAGAUAAGUUUAUUAAGUGAUGUAUUGUGAAUUUUCCAACAUUGUCCUAACAAAAAUUAAGGACCCUUUUUUCCCCCUUUUUUUUCUACUUUGUGUGGAAGAUAUGUGAGCUGCUUCUCAAAACAUUAUGUAUAAAUGAGAGAAAGAUCGGUACUCUUCUGGACUGGAAUACCUUUUUUUCAAUUAAAAUUAAUGUUUUUUGUGAUGGUGGAAUUUUUACCUUUAUGAUCACAGAAGUCAAAACAUCAGAUGAUGAUACCUUACCAUCUAAACUCCCCAUCUCUUGGCAAGUCUGAAUUAGAGGUCUCAGCUGUAUCAGCUUUUCUAGUGGAUUUGCUUAAAGAGGAGAUAGCUUAAGUCAUUAGGUACAUAUUCCCUGACAUUCUAGAGGUCAACCUUGGACAGUGUGUGACAUUAAAGGGCAUAACUCAUAGAAAGGGAAUGGUACUGGCCCAAAGGGCAGCAGGUGGAUUGCCAGAAUACUGAAAAACCAUAUCUGCAUUGUACCACAGCAUAUUCUACAUUGUCAGAGAGCUUGGUGGCUGGUACAGAGAGCACAACAGAGCUUUUGAGCUCAGCCCAGUAUCCACAAGAAUAUUCACUCUCGUUUCAAUCUGUUAACUCCUUGAUACUUAUCCAUUGGUUGAUUAUAAGAUUGGAUCAGUCCACAUUGUGACUUUAAAAAGACAUAUAGAAAUAAAAGGUGUUCAGAUAAGUGUAAUAGGUUCAGUCGCAUGUAUUUCAUUAGAUAAAUUUUUCUUUUUUUUGUCUGAUCUUUAUAACUUUGACUAUUGGGUAUGGAUAGCUGUAUGAAAACUAAACUGAAAUGGUUCUUUCUGAAUGUCUGAUAUGUAAUUCUUUUUUGCCUACAGAGUCCUAUGGUCCUAAAGACUGUCUUGGCUGACGGAACCUGUCGAAGGCUCACUCUCUAAUGGAGCGCCCGAAUCAACUGAGGAUCUCAUCGUUGAAGUCAAGAGACAGUGUGGUCUUCAGGGCAGUUUCAGACUUCAGUUUAUGGAUUCCUUGUUUGGGAAUGAGUUUCUUAAUCUUACCUCAGUUUCAGAAGUAGCAGACAAAGGGACUCUUAAAGCUAUUGACAUGUCAAAGCCCACCACAUGGACAUAAAAAGAGUAACAGAGUUGGUGAAACUCAAGAUGGAAGAGACUUUUUCAUACAGAAGACAUGAAGUUGUUUGUGAUGCACCAAUGGUGGAGGCUGCCUGCUCUAUUUGACUUCCAUGAGAUCAACGCUGAGUUUAAGAGAAUUGCCACCAUCCCCCCUCAAACAAAGUUCCUGGCUCAGCUGGAUCUCCACUUGGACAACCUGGUGAAGUUGGUCAACAGAAGAGGAGAGCUUGGACUAAUACUGAAAAGAAUUGUGGCACAAAUGGAUAUUGUGAAGAUGUUGAUGCUGGACGUGAGUGUGUCAAGGGAGUGUGUAUCUACAUGGGUGAAGACCCUGGCAUGAUUAUCCAGGAGUAUGUGGGCAUGGAAGAACGUGCCAUCAAUGAGACUGUUGAAGACACCACUGUUCGAAUUUAUCUUCUUAAAGAGCAAGCUUCAGCAGAAGAACAAGAGUUGUCCUUGCAGGCAUCAGGGUGGCGAAGAAUUUGGAUAAUGUAGCAUUUGCUGUGAUAAUGCUAUUUGGACUCAUGUAUGCAUUAAACCUUACCUACCCUGCUGACCUCCGCUACACCUUUGACGUUUUCCAGAAGGUUUUCAUGGAACUGGAUGGAGCUAAACUCUCUAAAGUUCUUGCUUUUAAAAACCAUCUGUUUCAUUGAGAAGUCAAAGACAGCACUUCUGCAAUUCUUUGUAGUUUUUCAUUUUGUGUUCAGUAACGUUAUACUGCUUAUCUUUUUAUUGCUUUCCCCUCAUGUGACUGCAAGGAUGAUUUUUCCUUCUGGUAUUAUGUUGUAAGAAAUAUUUACUGACGAUUUUUAGCAAUAUGUUCUGAGUCAACCUUAAUGUCCUGCUUACAUGUUUAAAAGGAAGAUUAAGAUUCAUGUAGGUGUUUGGUAUUAGUUAUGUAACAAUGUCAUUUAAGGCUCAACUUAGUUGAAAUUUUGUACAGGUAAAUACUUGUACAGAAGCUGAAAUUGUUGUCAAAUAAUACACAAGUUAUAUUUGUGUAAAUCUGUUUAUUCAUAAAAGCGUGUUGCUUUUUUCAGGUAGUCUUAAUUUACUUUAAAUUUUCAAUUGUGUAAUUAAUACAAAUGUUAUAUGUAAGAGAUGACAGGAUCAUCUAUAAGCACUUUCUUUUAUUUGCUGCUAAGGUCAGUUUUUUUGGGGGGGGAUUUUGGGGUU